GAGCCGAGUCUCCUAGCAACAUGGGAAACAUUGGACACUAAGUCAGAGUCUGAGAGAGGCUAUGUGGACCUUCUGAGAUCGUCAUGUCGGUCUUUAACAGCCCAGAUCCCUGUGGUGAAAAGAAAACAUCUGACAGGAACACGGGUCAUCACGACGAUAAUGUUCUGUCGUACACGGCCGACGUUCCCAACAUGGCCACUAGGGGCAGUCCACGCUUUGGAGCCUUGAGUCACCACUCCUUCUUCUCCAGACACAACCCUCACCCACACAGAGUCACACACAUCCAAGGUCUAAAUGGGAUUCCAGUGUGCAUGGUGAAUGACGACUGGUACGUGACCACCUCACUGUUCCCCCAUCCGCUCAUCAAGAGUCAGGUAUUCAGGACGAGUUCAGGAGCACCUUUCUCCCUGCCUGCAGGACACAGCGUGUUCGGAGGCAGAUACAGCACCGGACACAGAACAGCUCUGUUAUCAGAAGCCUGGAAAGAGGAGUUGAAAGAUCUGUCUGCAAAAGUCAGCGUUUCUACACAGGACAAAAAGGACAUGAAAGAUGAGAAUGAAGAGGAGGGUCUAGGACUGAUCCGGAGGAAGACCCAGUACUCUGCCAAGACAGGGAGGAUCAUCCCUCCCUCCUCCCAGGCUUAUCAGCGUAGCCACCAGGCUCAGACCCACCGUCACCCCCCCUGCCCCGGCUCUACAUCAGCAGGAACUUAUGGUGCUGGAGCUGCUGUGUCAAAUCCUUCAGACUGACUCCUUAUCAUUGGUCCAGCAGUGGCUGCUGCUCGCGGGCCAGAGGGAGAAGGACAUGGUGAUGGGGUUGAUUCAACAGGCCAUGAAGGACAGUGUCUUCCUAAGGCAGCAGAGUAUGACUGAGUGCGAGGUACCCAGAUGCCAUCCACGCACCUCUCUGUCGGGCCGGGUACUUACUAGCUGUGGAAAUGCAAAACUAAGACUUCAUACCAGUUCAUCCCAACUUCAGCUGCCAAUCAGCAAGGAGGACAAACCAGAGAUGAUUGGAGAUGCAGAGGUACUUGAGGUCCACGCAGAAAGCCCGAAACCGCCCGAAACUAAGCAACAUAUUUCCCAGGAUGAUCAGAACGACCAGUGUGAUCAGAAUGAUUAGACUUCCUUAGUGUAAAUGCUUCGGCUCUCAUCAUUUAAUGUAGUUCGUAGGAAGCCUGUUUCUGUAUCCAGAAAUAUUCUCUGACUAGUUAUUCUGUAUGAUGUAACGCUGUUGUCAUGGUUCAAUUCUCAAACAAUUCUGAGCCAAUUAAAUCAGAUUAUUGUCCCA